rnacentral:lncRNA from 1 species
GCGAAAAAUGAACCGGGGAUGCGACGUGUAAGAUUACCUACACCUUAGAUGCAAUAGCUUCUUCGGACACUGGACACAUGCAUUUGUUUUCCGUAAAGUGUUAGACUAUAUGUUAUUAUACAGAUUCAAAUAUACUAUCCGUUUCAGGUAAAACUCCCAAAUUCGGAUGUUCGAAAUCCAAUGAUGGGUAACCAGUACGACCGUAAUUCUGUAAAACAGUUUGUCGAAUAUC